UUGGCAUCCAACCGUUAGGACGUCUCGAGCUGUAAAUUUCCGUCGGCCACAAUAUUGAAAAUACUUUCUCUUUUCGGAAAUAAGAAACUCUGCGAUGGUCGCUAUGGAAAUAGAAAUGAAUUUGUUCCUGAGCGUACGCAGGGGUCGCCUUUCGAUGGCCAAAACCAGGUUGGACAGGAUAUCCGCGUCGUCUGGCAGUAGAUACGGAUGGUAAUCUCUGGAUUCCUCUUUAUGAAGGUGGCGGAGUGAUUCAAGUUAAUAUAUUCACUAACGAAAUAUUACAAUUUAUUCCCAUACCUGCACAAAGAGUCAACGCAUGCACUUUUGGGGGUCCUAAAUUUGAUACUUUAUUCGUAUCAACAAUGUGGAAUGGUCACGUAAAUGAACAUGGACAACGUCAAAGGUAUGAUGAAGGUGGUGCAAUUUUCGCUAUCAAGGGCCUUGGCGUGCAGGGGUUGCCGCCGAAGCAAUACAGAUUAAUAGUAGAUAAUAUCAAUCUUGAAAAUUAUAUACCUCUUACUAUCAGGCUUUGAUCAUUCUUUUAUUUAUUUACAAAAUUUCUCUCAUUUUGAAAAGCACCAAUUGAUUACCUUAUUAACAUAGA